UAUCGUUUUACUUUGCUUCUUCGUUGCUUCACCUCCAAAGGUCCAAAAUAGUCCACUCCUGUUGCGGUAAAUGGUGGUUUGUAUGGGGUCACUCUCUCUUCAGGGAGAUCUGCCAUUAGUUGCUUUCCAGGCUUAUUAUUUGCUUUCUGGCAUUCCAAACAGCGAGAGAUAACUUGUCGCACUGCCGAUCUUCCUUUCACAAUCCAAUAAUGCUCUCUCAAAGCCGAAAGUACCGAUUCUUGACCCAUAUGUCCGACUUCAAUAUGAACCUGCUCGAUAACCAAAUCAGUCACUCGAUGCGUAUACGGCAAAAUUAUUGGAUGCUUCGCUUCGUCAUUCACUCCUGCGUGCUUCAGUCGCCCACCAACCACCAGCGUGCCAUCUUUUAACUCGGGAUUUAAUUUCUGUAGUGAGCUAUCUUUGAGCGUUUUCUUCUGAUUUGUUCCAAUUUUGGCUGGUUGAGAUCCGAGUAUCUUUAUCACCGAAGGGAAUGAUGUCGACUGCACAUAUCGUACAAUGUUUAGCUCUGCAUUUCGAAGCUCUUCGACUGUGAGGUUUGGUACUCUUUCUUCGCCACGCAAGUUAUCGUUCACAUUCUCAACAAUCUUCUCUUUAACUCUUUUCAUCAAAUUCCUUCGGUAACGCAAAAGCCAAGCCACCACUCUCUUCAGCUUCCACCAGCUUGAAUAACGCUUAAUCAACGAUUCCAACGGGCUUUCACUUGCACUCGUUGUGUAAACCAAAUUCGCCUUUCGCAAUGCAGGGUCAUCGUCCUCUAUGACCGUAUGAGAAACUUUCGCUGGCCAACAUGACUUAUCUUUCCACAAAAAGUCGGGCCCAUUCAACCAUCGACCACCGUUUGCUAUCUCUUCCAAUUUGAGUCCUUUCGAUGCAUCAUCUGCUGGGUUAUCUUCACUGCUAACAUAUUGCCAUUCGUCGACCGACGACCCAUUAUGUAUGAUUGUCAACCGAUUUGACUCGAAGGUAUGAAACCUCUUUGAUUCAUUACAGAUGCAUUUUAGGACGGACUGCGAAUCAGUCCAAUAUGUCACACUGUUCACUUCGAUGUCUAACUCCUCUUGAAUGAUCUUAUUCAACUUCACGGAAAUGACUGCCGCUGACAAUUCCAGACGAGGUAUAGUUAUCUCUCGUAUCGGCGCUACACGAGCCUUGCCCAAGACGAAACAACAAUGAAUAGUAUCGUCCUGAUCAACCAAACGCAAGUAGGCUACCGCGCCGUACCCAACGCGUGAUCCGUCUGAGAAUAUGUGCAACUCAACUUCCUUUAUCGAGCCAAAGUCCCGAGGUUUAAAACAUCGCUUCACGCUAAUCUUCUCUAACUUGUUUAGAUCUUCGAGCCAGCGACUCCACUGGUUCUUCUCAUUCUCUUCAAUAACAGCGUCCCAACCAGCUCCAUUUCGACAUAAUUCCUGCAAUAUCAACUUUGCCUUCAUAAUAUAGGGUGCUAAGAACCCCAAAGGAUCAAACAGUGAACUCACGAUAGAUAAUAUAGUUCUUCUUGUCGCAGGUUUCUGACCAGAUAACAACAACAUCUUUUCCUGCACUUCCCAUACGAAUUCAUCCUUCUCCACAUUCCAUUUGAGACCAAGGGCACUUUCUGUCGGAAGAUCUUCAACAUUCAAACUAACAACCGAGCUGGCCUUCUCAGAUUCUGGGAUUUCUGAUAACACUCGUCGGUCGUUACUGAUCCAUUUUGUCAACCGGAAACCACCACUCUUCAUUAACUCGAUUAACUGUGCCACCAGACGAUUUGCUGUAUGGUUGUCCGAUACAGACUUCAUCAAGUCAUCAACGUACAUAUUUCUUUCUACUGUCUUGACUGUCUCAGGAUCGAACUUUCCUUCACUAGAAGAAGCCAACUUCUUGACGCAGAGAUUGGCACAACUGGGCGAUGAAGUUGCACCAAAGACAUGUUUAACCAUCCUAUAUUCUGUUGGACUUGCUUCCAGGUUUGCACCUUCCCACCAAAGAAACCUUAAGACAUCACAGUCCUUUGGGUCAACUCUUAUCUGGCUAAACAUUCCUUCUAUAUCCGCCACCAAGGCUACUGGCUCCUGUCGAAAUCUAAUCAACACUCCGACCAACGAAUUUGCCAAAUCGGGACCUUGCAACAAUUGGUCAUUAAGGGAGGUACCAUUGUGUUUGGCCGCACAAUCAAAUACUACCCUGACCUUCUCAGGCUUCAUCGGAUGUGUCACAGGAUGGUGUGGCAGGUACCACACCGGUCUAUCCUUUCGUUCUAAUUCUUCUUCUGGGAUCUUUUGUGCAUGUCCCUUUUUGAUAUAAUCUUCUACCGCAGUCUUGUAUUUCUCCAAAAGUUUUGGAUCCUUCAUCAACCGGGCUUUCAAUGAGCCAAGUCUUCUCUCCGCUAUUUCUUUGUUGUUUGGCAAAACUGGAUUUUCUUUGCGCCAAGGCAAUGCUACUUGGUAGUGUCCUUCUACCAUCUCAAUUGAGUUUUCCAUUACUUCGAGUGCUCUUCGAUCUUCUAUGGACGGGUUUACGCUUAUAUCAACACCUGUAUCAGCAAAGUCGGUAUUCCACAUUCUCUCCAGUCUACGAGAUAAUAGCGCAUCAUGCGAUAAGUCUUCAGCAAACUCCUGACUGUCAUCAUCAUCCAUGCACACACAGCUUACUCCGUUUUCUUGCUCAGCAGCAUAAAUAGGUACAUACGUAGGAGUACCCAUGUGAAUCAAAUUCACCCCACAGCUAGGGUCCACCUUCUUUCCUCCAACUGGACCGAUCACUGUCCAUCCAAGGCUAUACUUAAUUGCUACAGGCUCUGUCUCUUCACCCAUCUUAUAUUCCAAAGGCAGGAACAAACUAGGUCUUUCUUUCACACCAAUUAGCAGCAUCACUUCUCCCUUUUCUAAUUCUGGAAUAUCUAUCCCAUCUAGGUGAGACCAUCUUGAUAAAUCAUCACGCUUUGGUAUACAACUUGGGGAGAUUGGCAUCCCCUUUACCGUUUUCACAUUGGGCAAUUCAAUCACAGUACUUUCGUCCAUUGAUUUCACUUUUAAACUCACCAUUGUUCCUUCCACCUGGGUGCUUCCAGUCAUACCAGUCAACGUAUACUCUAUCUUCUUGCCAACAAGACCAAGUUUCUUUGCAAGCUGCUCAUGACAUAAUGUCACUUCAGAUCCAUUAUCCAUUAAUGC